CUUCUUAGAUGCAAACUGCGCUGUCCGUAUAGCUCCAACUCUCAGUUCUGUCUUCGCUGGCACCAGAGAAUUCUCUCCCUCGAUGUGCUCCAGAACCAGGAGGAUGGACUUCACUGGUUCUUGUAGCUCUAAACAAAUAUCAAUCAGAUCCAAAGAUAAUCUGGAGAUACAAAACUUGCAAGGAGAGAAACAGUACUUACUUGUUCACUACCAGUUUCUACUGUUUGCAGUGCUUGCUGACAGUCAUUAGUUGGCACUCUUCAUUAACUUUUGGGCCAUCUCUUUUGGAACACGGCACAAAGCUACCUGCAAUGCUGCCAGCCUGUGUAUCCUGAUUUGGGCUCCGUCUAAGCUCAACUGCUGCUCUACAGAUGGAAACCUCCUCCCUCACGCUGAGUGACUGCAGAAGCAGCUUCCUGGUACUCAACGCACCUGCCAGUUUGCACUCUGCAGUCUUAUUUCCACUCUCUGCUACAAUUAAAUGUUGCUUGCAGAGAACCCGGUUGGAACUGUGCUCAGCAGUGCGACAGCAAGCUGGCUCCCAUCACCUCCCGUGUACACAGUGCGGACAGCUGGGUAGAAGACAGGACUGAAUCCCAAGUCUUGCUUGCUAUUCAGCCUCACGUUCUGCCAGACUGGAAACUACAGAACUCCUCUUCCAACCUACAACAACUGCUGACGUGCCUUCUGGAUCAGCAUAGAGGGCUUUACCUCGAAUGUGGAAGUUGUCUUCUCUCUGGCAAGGACGUAUCCCAUAUCCAGUACUUCUUCCACAGAGCAAACAAUUGAUGGCAUCACCCCACGCCCCGAGAUACUUAGGGUUAAGUUCUUUUGUGCUGUCCGGAUGUCUAGCGCUUCAAAAA